AGUGAACGCUGGCGGUAGGCCUAACACAUGCAAGUCGAACGGCAGCACAGUAAGAGCUUGCUCUUACGGGUGGCGAGUGGCGGACGGGUGAGGAAUACAUCGGAAUCUACUUUUUCGUGGGGGAUAACGUAGGGAAACUUACGCUAAUACAGCAUACGACCUACGGGUGAAAUCGGGGGAGCUUCGGACCUUGCGCGAUUGAAUGAGCCGAUGUCGGAUUAGCUAGUUGGCGGGGUAAAGGCCCACCAAGGCGACGAUCCGUAGCUGGUCUGAGAGGAUGAUCGGCCACACUGGAACUGAGACACGGUCCAGACUCCUACGGGAGGCAGCAGUGGGGAAUAUUGGACAAUGGGCGCAAGCCUGAUCCAGCCAUACCGCGUGGGUGAAGAAGGCCUUCGGGUUGUAAAGCCCUUUUGUUGGGAAAGAAAAGCAGCAGGUUAAAACCCCGCUGUUCUGACGGUACCCAACGAGUAAGCAACGGCUAACUUCGUG
rnacentral:rRNA from 1 species